AUUGAACGCUGGCGGCAGGCCUAACACAUGCAAGUCGAGCGAGAGGCGGACGGGUGAGUAAUGUAUGGGGACUGCCCGAUAGAGGGGGAUAACUACUGGAAACGGUGGCUAAUACCGCAUACUAUCGGAUAACCCAUAUGGGAUUAGCGUGGAGGUGGGGAAAAGGCUCCCCGAGGCGACGAUCUCUAGCUGGUCUGAGAGGAUGAUCAGCCACACUGGGACUGCGACACGUCCCAGACUCCUACGGAGGCAGCAGUGGGGAAUAUUGCACAAUGGGCGCAAGCCUGAUGCAUCCAUGCCGCGUGUAUGAAGAAGGCCCUAGGGUUGUAAAGUACUUGCAGUCGGGAGGCGUUACCGACAGAAGAAGCACCGGCUAACUCCGUGCCAGCAGCCGCGGUAAUAC
rnacentral:rRNA from 1 species